rnacentral:rRNA from 1 species
GAUGAACGCUGGCGGCGUGCCUAAUACAUGCAAGUCGAGCGAACAGACGAGGAGCUUGCUCCUCUGACGUUAGCGGCGGACGGGUGAGUAACACGUGGAUAACCUACCUAUAAGACUGGGAUAACUUCGGGAAACCGGAGCUAAUACCGGAUAAUAUAUUGAACCGCAUGGUUCAAUAGUGAAAGACGGUUUUGCUGUCACUUAUAGAUGGAUCCGCGCCGCAUUAGAUAGUUGGUAAGGUAACGGCUUACCAAGGCAACGAUGCGUAGCCGACCUGAGAGGGUGAUCGGCCACACUGGAACUGAGACACGGUCCGGACUCCUACGGGAGGCAGCAGUAGGGAAUCUUCCGCAAUGGGCGAAAGCCUGACGGAGCAACGCCGCGUGAGUGAUGAAGGUCUUCGGAUCGUAAAACUCUGUUAUUAGGGAAGAACAAAUGUGUAAGUAACUAUGCACGUCUUGACGGUACCUAAUCAGAAAGCCACGGCUAACUACGUG